rnacentral:rRNA from 1 species
AGUGAGCGCUGGCGGUAGGCCUAACACAUGCAAGUCGAACGGCAGCACAGUAAGAGCUUGCUCUUACGGGUGGCGAGUGGCGGACGGGUGAGGAAUACAUCGGAAUCUACUUUUUCGUGGGGGAUAACGUAGGGAAACUUACGCUAAUACCGCAUACGACCUACGGGUGAAAGCAGGGGAUCUUCGGACCUUGGGCGAUUGAAUGAGCCGAUGUCGGAUUAGCUAGUUGGCGGGGUAAAGGCCCACCAAGGCGACGAUCCGUAGCUGGUCUGAGAGGAUGAUCAGCCACACUGGAACUGAGACACGGUCCAGACUCCUACGGGAGGCAGCAGUGGGGAAUAUUGGACAAUGGGCGCAAGCCUGAUCCAGCCAUACCGCGUGGGUGAAGAAGGCCUUCGGGUUGUAAAGCCCUUUUGUUGGGAAAGAAAAGCAGCAGGUUAAUACCCCGCUGUUCUGACGGUACCCAAAGAAUAAGCACCGGCUAACUUCGUG